GUGCUCACUUCAGCAGCACACAGAAUAAAAUUGGAACAGUACCCAAAUUAGCAUGGUCCCUGCGCAAGGAUGGCGUGCACGUUUGUGAAACAUUCCAUGAUUUU